AUGGUGGCGGUCGCGGCUGGGAGGCGGCCCGUGCUCAGCCGCCGGAGGUCCGGCUGCGGUGCCGGCCAGCAGCAGCUGCAGCACCCGCAGGCGCAGCAACGGCGGAUGCUGGCGGUCGCCGUCGCCGCGCGCGUCGCCGCCGCGAAGCCCGCGGCCACGGAGGCCGCUUUGUAUGGCGGCGGCGGCGGCGACGGGUGCUGCGUCGAUUUUCUCGUUUGCCUGCUCCGGGGGCUCGGCGUGACCCCCGCAAGCGCGGGGCCUGCGCAGUUCAAGUGGGCCGCUCGACCGCUGCGGCGGAAGCGGAACGGGGGUUCCUCGCCAAGCGGCGCCUCCGCCGAGGAAAGGCGUCCCGGGCUUAUUAGGGACGCGCCCGGACGCAUCGCCGGCAACGGCGCCUGCGCUAGCGCCUCACUUUACACGAUGCAGGGCAAGAAGGGGGUCAACCAGGACGCCAUGGUUGUCGUGGAGAAUUUUGGUUCAAAAGAUGGUACCAUCUUUUGUGGUGUUUUUGAUGGCCAUGGACCACAAGGUCAUUUGGUUUCCAAGAUGGUCAGAGAUCUUCUCCCUGUGAAGUUGAGUGCAAAUAUAGCCAGGGAUGAAUACAAAGAGUUGUCAAAUAACACUGUCACAAAUGGGACAACUGAAGGAGAUGCUGUGCAAACUGUGGUUGAAGAUACCGAUGCUACCCUUGGAGCUUUAGAGAAUGGAGGGUACCCAGAAAUCUUCACAGCAUUGAGAACUUCAUUCUUGAGGGCAUUUUAUGUAAUGGACAGGGAUUUGAAGUCACAUAAAAAUAUUGAUUGUCUGUUCAGUGGAACCACAGCAGUCACAUUGAUCAAGCAGGGGCAGGAUCUUAUAAUCGGCAACUUGGGGGACUCUAGAGCUAUAUUGGCCACUAAAGAUGAGGAUAAUCACCUUUUUGCUCUUCAACUGACAGUCGAUCUCAAACCAAGCAUCCCAAGUGAAGCAGCACGGAUCAGGGAACGGAAGGGCAGAGUAUUUUCUCUCCCAAACGAGCCAGAUGUUACUCGUGUUUGGCUUCCGAAGUACAACUCCCCAGGGUUGGCCAUGGCAAGAGCGUUUGGAGACUUUUGUCUAAAGAGUUAUGGUGUAAUUUCUGUUCCUGAUGUUUCGUACCAUCACAUCACAGAAAAGGAUGAGUUCGUUGUGUUGGCGACUGAUGGGGUGUGGGAUGUACUUUCAAACGAUGACGUCGUUAAGAUUGUCAGUGAAUCCACUUCAGAGGCCUCAGCAGCAAGGCUUCUUGUCCAAACGGCUCACCGUACGUGGAGAACACGGUUUCCCACAGCAAAAGUUGAUGACUGCGCCGCUGUCUGUCUAUUCUUGAAAACAGAUUUGACAAAUAAAUCGUCCGAUUCAGGAACCAAAGAUUUCGCAACUAAUGUGGAACUGGACGGUGGUAAGCAUUUCUCGACUGUCAAAUCAAGCACUGUGGUUCCUACAGAUCUUGCUACCGCAUUCGUAACAGGUAAUGAGUGGCCUGUCCUUAGCGGCGACCCAAUGCCUGCCACUCCGACAAAUUUGCUGACGCCUACUUCAGCUGCAAACCAAAGCAUGAAAGGUUGA
rnacentral:rRNA from 1 species